rnacentral:rRNA from 1 species
UACAGAGGUCUCAAGCGUUGUUCGGAUUCAUUGGGCGUAAAGGGUGUGUAGGUGGCGCCGUAAGUCGGGUGUGAAAUUUCGGAGCUUAACUCCGAAACUGCAUUCGAUACUGCGGUGCUUGAGGACUGGAGAGGAGACUGGAAUUCAUGGUGUAGCAGUGAAAUGCGUAGAGAUCAUGAGGAAGACCAGUGGCGAAGGCGGGUCUCUGGACAGUUCCGGACACUGAGACACGAAGGCCAGGGGAGCAAACGGG